rnacentral:rRNA from 1 species
AGUGAACGCUGGCGGUAGGCCUAACACAUGCAAGUCGAACGGCAGCACAGUAAGAGCUUGCUCUUACGGGUGGCGAGUGGCGGACGGGUGAGGAAUACAUCGGAAUCUACUUUUUCGUGGGGGAUAACGUAGGGAAACUUACGCUAAUACCGCAUACGACCUACGGGUGAAAGCAGGGGAUCUUCGGACCUUGCUCGAUUGAAUGAGCCGAUGUCGGAUUAGCUAGUUGGCGGGGUAAAGGCCCACCAAGGCGACGAUCCGUAGCUGGUCUGAGAGGAUGAUCAGCCACACUGGAACUGAGACACGGUCCAGACUCCUACGGGAGGCAGCAGUGGGGAAUAUUGGACAAUGGGCGCAAGCCUGAUCCAGCCAUACCGCGUGGGUGAAGAAGGCCUUCGGGUUGUAAAGCCCUUCUGUUGGGAAAGAAAAGCAGCAGGUUAAUACCCCGCUGUUCUGACGGUACCCAAAGAAUAAGCACCGGCUAACUUCGUG